UACAGAGGGUGCGAGCGUUAAUCGGAAUUACUGGGCGUAAAGCGUGCGUAGACGGUAGCGUAAGUCAGAUGUGAAAGCCCCGGGCUCAACUUGGGAAUUGCAGUGGAUACUGGCGAGCUAGAGUGCGGUAGAGGAAGGUGGAAUUCCCGGUGUAGCGGUGAAAUGCGUAGAGAUCGGGAGGAACACCAGUGGCGAAGGCGGCCUUCUGGACCAGCACUGACACUCAAGCACGAAAGCGUGGGGAGCGAACAGGG
rnacentral:rRNA from 1 species